GGGGCGAGAUUCAUUCACAGUGCUCUGGGUGCCAUCAUAGGGCGGUGGUCGGGGAACAUCAAGAGAUGAAUCAUCAUUGCAAACAUUUCACACAGGAACUCUCUGCGUCUCUCCUGCCUUCAGAUCAAAGUGAAUGUGGGGAUACUAUACUAUUCUAUUCAUGUGAUACAAUAAUAAAAACCUGCAAAAAUGGUACAUGGGGUUCUGUUAUGUUCAGGAGACAAUUUAAAUCAAAAUACUGAGGUUUUAUUGUACUAACUUAUAUAAGGAUUAUGAAAUAGC